rnacentral:rRNA from 1 species
ACGUAGUUAGCCGUGGCUUUCUGAUUAGGUACCGUCAAGACGUGCAUAGUUACUUACACAUUUGUUCUUCCCUAAUAACAGAGUUUUACGAUCCGAAGACCUUCUUCACUCACGCGGCGUUGCUCCGUCAGGCUUUCGCCCAUUGCGGAAGAUUCCCUACUGCUGCCUCCCGUAGGAGUCUGGACCGUGUCUCAGUUCCAGUGUGGCCGAUCACCCUCUCAGGUCGGCUACGCAUCGUUGCCUUGGUAAGCCGUUACCUUACCAACUAGCUAAUGCGACGCGGAUCCAUCUAUAAGUGACAGCAAGACCGUCUUUCACUGUUGAACCAUGCGUUCAACAUGCUAUCCGGUAUUAGCUCCGGUUCCAGUUAUCCCAGUCUUAUAGGUAGGUUAUCCGACGUGUUACUCACCCGUCCGCCGCUAACGUCAGAGGAGUAAGCUCCUCGUCUGUUCGCUGACUUGCAUGUAUAGGCACGCCGCCAGCGUUCACUUCCUGA